AGCGGAUCUUGUUUUAGGCUGCUGGGAGAGAGGACGCCAGGUUAUCACAGAGGUGUGGUUUAUCGGCUAGUGCAGCACUGCAUUCUCCAGCCAUGAGGUGCAGUAACUGAUGGCAGAUGGCGGCUGUUGGCAUUUGUACCCGGCUGGCACCCAGACUGAGUCAUGGAAAACUCGGUGUGAGGCACAAACAGCUCUCACUCGACACUUUAAACCAACCGUGCAGGACAAUAUUAUAACCAGACUCAAA